rnacentral:rRNA from 1 species
GAUGAACGCUGGCGGCGUGCCUAAUACAUGCAAGUCGAGCGAAUGGAUUAAGAGCUUGCUCUUAUGAAGUUAGCGGCGGACGGGUGAGUAACACGUGGGUAACCUGCCCAUAAGACUGGGAUAACUCCGGGAAACCGGGGCUAAUACCGGAUAACAUUUUGAACCGCAUGGUUCGAAAUUGAAAGGCGGCUUCGGCUGUCACUUAUGGAUGGACCCGCGUCGCAUUAGCUAGUUGGUGAGGUAACGGCUCACCAAGGCCACGAUGCGUAGCCGACCGGAGAGGGUGAUCGGCCACACUGGGACUGAGCCACGGCCCAGACUCCUACGGGAGGAAGCAGUAGGGAAUCUUCCGCAAUGGACGAAAGUCUGACGGAGCAACGCCGCGUGAGUGAUGAAGGCUUUCGGGUCGUAAAACUCUGUUGUUAGGGAAGAACAAGUGCUAGUUGAAUAAGCUGGCACCUUGACGGUACCUAACCAGAAAGCCACGGCUAACUACGUGCCAGCCGCCGCGGUAA